UGGGAAUAUUGCACAAUGGGCGAAAGCCUGAUGCAGCAACGCCGCGUGAGUGAUGAAGGCCUUCGGGUUGUAAAGCUCUGUCUUUUGGGACGAUAAUGACGGUACCAAAGGAGGAAGCCACGGCUAACUACGUGCCAGCAGCCGCGGUAAUACGUAGGUGGCAAGCGUUGUCCGGAUUUUACUGAGCGUAAAGGAUGCGUAGGCGGAUUUUUAAGUGAGAUGUGAAAUACCCGGGCUUAACUUGGGUGCUGCAUUUCAAACUGGGAAUCUAGAGUGCGGGAGAGGAGAAUGGAAUUCCUAGUGUAGCGGUGAAAUGCGUAGAGAUUAGGAAGAACACCAGUGGCGAAGGCGAUUCUCUGGACCGUAACUGACGCUGAGGCAUGAAAAGCGUGGGUAGCAAAACAGGAUUAGAUACCCUGGUAGUCCACGCCGUAAACGAUGAGUACUAGGUGUAGGAGGUAUCGACCCCUUCUGUGCCGCAGUUAACACAAUAAGUA
rnacentral:rRNA from 1 species